GCAGUCGACGGCAGCACGGACUUCGGUCUGGUGGCGAGUGGCGAACGGGUGAGUAAUAUAUCGGAACGUGCCCAGUCGUGGGGGAUAACGUAGUGAAAAUUACGCUAAUACCGCAUAUGAUCUAAGGAUGAAAGCGGGGGAUCGCAAGACCUCGCGCGAUUGGAGCGGCCGAUAUCAGAUUAGGUAGUUGGUGAGGUAAAGGCUCACCAAGCCAACGAUCUGUAGCUGGUCUGAGAGGACGACCAGCCACACUGGAACUGAGACACGGUCCAGACUCCUACGGGAGGCAGCAGUGGGGAAUUUUGGACAAUGGACGCAAGUCUGAUCCAGCCAUUCCGCGUGCAGGACGAAGGCCUUCGGGUUGUAAACUGCUUUUGUACAGAACGAAAAGGUCUCUAUUAAUACUGGGGGCUCAUGACGGUACUGUAAGAAUAAGCACCGGCUAACUACGUGCCAGCAGCCGCGGUAAUACGUAGGGUGCAAGCGUUAAUCGGAAUUACUGGGCGUAAAGCGUGCGCAGGCGGUUAUAUAAGACAGAUGUGAAAUCCCCGGGCUCAACCUGGGAACUGCAUUUGUGACUGUAUAGCUGGAGUGCGGCAGAGGGGGAUGGAAUUCCGCGUGUAGCAGUGAAAUGCGUAGAUAUGCGGAGGAACACCGAUGGCGAAGGCAAUCCCCUGGGCCUGCACUGACGCUCAUGCGCGAAAGCGUGGGGAGCAAACAGGAUUAGAUACCCUGGUAGUCACGCCCUAACGAUGUCAC
rnacentral:rRNA from 1 species